CUCCCCAGUUGGAUUUCCUUCUAUAAACAUUGAUAUCAUUAUAAAUCGGAGCAAAAUUGCUAGUAGAAAAGUUGUUCACAGGAAAAAAGAAAGCCGUAAUAUAUUUUAGCUACAUUUCUUAAAUAUUCCCAUUUUUCCUCCGGUUUUUUUCAGUUUUUCACAUUUUUUGAAAAAAUUAUUGAGGAAUUAUAAUCUCCUUAACGUAUCUCCCCACACCAAAUUUUUUUCAGAAAAGAUGCUACACGUAAAAAUCGGAGCAAUCCCUCUGGUAGAAAAGUUGUCCACAGAAAAA